GCUCUAUUUUUACCACACGGAAGCGAUAUCACAAUACGACUGGUACGAUGGUUUAUCAAGCAGAAUAUAAUGUGAAUUCGCUGUUGUACCUCGCUGUAUCGUGUUUACUGCAGUGGCUUCAAGUAAUUUUCAUAUUCUAUUGUACAAAUGCUGUUGUACCUCGCUGUAUCGUGUUUACUGCAGUGGCGGCGCUACGGGAGGUGGGGGAAGGAGUCAUUUCCCCAGAAAAUUGUCUUUCUCCAGUUUCCUCCCCCCCCCCCCAACCAACAACAGAAAAAAGAAAAACCACAAUUCGUCAGGGAGAAACAUUUUUUUGCUCUAUUUUUACCGCACGGAAGCGAUAUCACAAUACGACUGGUACGAUGGUUUAUCAAGCAGAAUGUAAUGUGAAUUCGGUCAGUUGGGCGUUUUAAUAUUUGCAUUGUAUAAUCUUGUUUUUAUUUCAUUGUAAGAGUUUGUUCUAUCUGUAAAUUUCCCGUCGAUUUAUAAUCAGGCGGUACUGGGUAAGGACA